ensembl:lncRNA
UGUUGAUUUAUCUCUCUGACUUUGCGUUGCUGGUGCACAUUGCACCACGGCGCUGAGGUCACAGUGCAGAGCAACUGUGAAACCGCAGCUCACAAAUAUCACAUUCUUGCGAAAAUAACGUUAGCCGGUUCCAUUUUAAGUCUUCAAAUGUUUGGAUUUUCUGUUUCCUCCGCUGCAGAACGCUCGUGGUGAUUCAUCAAGAAAAACAAAUGGUCGACUUCAAAUUGGGCUUCUUGUUGGAACGUGACGGGGGCCUUUGAGAAGCAUCACCUGUUCCACACAAAUCCAACGGCCUUGUCUCUGCCCUGCCAGCUGCUGACAGCACGAGUCACUUUGAGUUGCUAUCAGCUCCAUCCUCCCAGCAUCCUCUGAGGAAGGAAGCAGGGCCAGGCUGCACCAGAGCCCCGCAAGCUUUGCAUCACCAUCUCCUGCAGGGACACUGGUUAUUUUUGGACCAAGGGCGGAUCACAUUACGACGGCGAAGAGGACCCCUCGGACAGGAAAUCGCCCAGCACGCCACCCAGCAGGUCCCGUUGGCUCUCAGCCGACCCGACUGUGAUUCGGCCUCAUAUGCAGACGUCGGUCAGGGAGAGAAACGCCUCACAGAACAAGAGACCCGUCUCCAGCGACGGGUGACCUCUAAAAUCCCAUCAGCCCCGGUGGGACACGACCUGCACGCUGUCGCUGUGUGCAAAAAGGGCAGCAAGCUGAGGAAGCCAGGAAACAGAAGCUCACAUUGGAACAAAUGGAUCAAUGGACCCACCUUCAUUAAAACUCACUCCAGGGUUAUGAAUGGGCCUGUCUGGCCCGCGGCACGGCCUUGAGAGCCCAGCUGGUUUCUAUUAAAGACUCAAGACAGGUAGCUCUGAUGAGACCCAGAAUCCAGGUGCUGCCAGAGCCGAACGAGACGGGGGGGG